rnacentral:rRNA from 1 species
AACAAACGCUGGCGGCGUGCCUAACACAUGCAAGUCGUACGAGAAAGUUCACUUCGGUGGAUGAGUAAAGUGGCGCACGGGUGAGUAACGCGUGGAUAAUCUACCCUUUAGCCGGGAAUAACCCAUCGAAAGGUGGGCUAAUACCGGAUAAUACUGUGAAACUGCGGUGGAACAGUCAAAGAGAGCCUCUGUUUACAAGCCCUCACUAAAGGAUGAGUCCGCGUACCAUUAGCUAGUUGGUAGGGUAAUGGCCUACCAAGGCGACGAUGGUUAGCUGGUCUGAGAGGAUGAUCAGCCACACUGGAACUGAGACACGGUCUAGACUCCUACGGGAGGCUG